rnacentral:misc_RNA from 1 species
UACGUAGGUGGCAAGCGUUGUCCGGAAUUAUUUGGCGUAAAGCGCGCGCAGGCGGCCUCGUAAGCCGGAUGUUAAAGCCCCCGGCGCAACCGGGGAGGGCCAUUGGAAACUGGGAGGGUUGAGUAUAGGAGAGAAGAGUGGAAUUCCACGUGUAGCGGUGAAAUGCGUAGAGAUGUGGAGGAACACAAGUGGCGAAGGCGACUCUUUGGCCUAUAACUGCCGCUGAGGCGCGAAAGCGUGGGGAGCAAACAGG